CUUUACUGUAGCUUUACAUUGGACUUUGAACAGAUCUGUGUAGGAUAGGUGGGAGGCUUUGAAGCCGGGACGCCAGUUCCGGUGGAGCCGACGUUGAAAUACCACCCUGGUGUGUUUGAGGUUCUAACCUAGGCCCGUAAUCCGGGUUGGGGACAGUGUAUGGUGGGCAGUUUGACUGGGGCGGUCUCCUCCCAAAGCGUAACGGAGGAGUUCGAAGGUACGCUAGGCACGGUCGGAAAUCGUGCUGUUAGUGCAUAGGCAUAAGCGUGCUUGACUGCGAGACUGACAAGUCGAGCAGGUACGAAAGUAGGACUAAGUGAUCCGGUGGUUCUGUAUGGAAGGGCCAUCGCUCAACGGAUAAAAGGUA
rnacentral:rRNA from 1 species